rnacentral:rRNA from 1 species
UGGAGAAAAGCAGGGGAUCGUAAGACCUUGCGCUUUGGGAGCGGCCGAUGUCUGAUUAGCUAGUUGGUGGGGUAAUGGCCUACCAAAGCUUCGAUCAGUAGCUGGUCUGAGAGGACGGCCAGCCACACUGGGACUGAGACACGGCCCAGACUCCUACGGGAGGCAGCAGUGGGGAAUUUUGGACAAUGGGCGCAAGCCUGAUCCAGCCAUGCCGCGUGAGUGAAGAAGGCCUUCGGGUUGUAAAGCUCUUUCAGCCGGGAAGAAAAGGCUGCGAUUAAUAAUCGCAGUUCAUGACGGUACCGGAAGAAGAAGCACCGGCUAACUACGUGCCAGCAGCCGCGGUAAUACGUAGGGUGCGAGCGUUAAUCGGAAUUACUGGGCGUAAAGGGUGCGCAGGCGGUUUUGUAAGUCAGAUGUGAAAUCCCCGGGCUUA